rnacentral:lncRNA from 1 species
CAAAGAGAAACAGUGAAACCUCUCUCCAUUCCUGUUCUGAUUGAAACUUUAAUUCUAAAAUAGUCUUUGGCUUGAAAGAUUGAACUGCACCAUCUUUCCAUAUAAAUGGCAAGUUUCUUUUCCUUAGGUGACAUCACUGGAGACUUUCACACCUAAAUUACUGUCUUUUAAAGUCAAUUAGAAGUCAGGAGUAAAGCCCAG